AGGACGAACGCUGGCGGCGUGCUUAACACAUGCAAGUCGAGCGGUAAGGCUCCUUCGGGAGUACACGAGCGGCGAACGGGUGAGUAACACGUGAGCAAUCUGCCCUUUCACUUCGGGAUAACUCCGGGAAACCGUGCUAAUACCGAAUACGACCACUUCAGGCA
rnacentral:rRNA from 1 species